rnacentral:rRNA from 1 species
AUGCAAAAGAAAAAAUAUGUGGAUAAUGAUAUUGUUAAAUUGAAGCUAUUUCCGUUCUCACUGCGAGAUCAUGUUAAAACUUGGUUUUCAUCAUUGCCUAAAAAUAGUAUUGAUUCACGGAAUAAGUGUAAAGAUGCUUUUAUUUCCAAGUAUUUUCCUCCCGCUAAGAUCAUCUCCCUUAGGAACGAUAUAACGAAUUUUAAGCAACUUGAUCACGAACAUGUUGCACAAUCCUGGGAGAGGAUGAAACUGAUGAUAAGAAAUUGCCCUACUCAUGGUUUAAGUUUAUGGAUGAUAAUACAAAAAAUUUAUGCCGGAUUGAAUUUUGCAUCUGGAAAUCUUUUAGAUUCCACCGCGGGAGGUACUCUUAUGGAAGUCAUAUUAGGAGAAGCUACUAAACUCUUAGAUAAUAUUAUGGCAAAUUACUCUCAAUGGCAUAUCGAAAGAUCUUCUACUGAUCCUAAAAAGUGCAUGCGGUUGAAGAAAUUAAUACUUUGA